rnacentral:ribozyme from 1 species
GUCUGUCAUUGUUCUGUUAAUGGGUUGGAUCCGACGCCUCUAGCAGGCUACUAUUCGCUCUCCUUUUCAACUCCUCCUCAAUACGUCCACGACGUGCAGAACGACAACUUAUCGCCUAGAUAUCCAAGCUUGGGUACACGGGGAAACCCACCCCAUUGGGCGGAUGGGCGGCAAGGCUGAAUUCAGAGGG